CAAAUUACUAUGAUUUUUCUAUCCCCUCUCCAUUUUCUUGCAUAAGCAAAUGGUGGCUUCUAGUAGCGAUGUCGGGUAGAGUAAUCUUUUGGAGAAAUAACAAGACCUUUACCUUUUCUAGCACCACGAAAAAUAGUUUCUAUAAUAUCGAUCAUCUCUUGUUUAUCUUCUAACGGCCAGUUGAUUUUGUUAUUGUUACCAGUACCUAAGUCAAUCAUCAUGUGUUUGUUUCGAUAAAAAAACAUUAUUGUAGUUCUGUCAUAAAGCUCGUACAUCUAGAUGGUAAUAAGGUUAGCAACAUGACUUUCCAACUAAGACUUAGACUUACCUUGUUGAAGUCAGGAACUUCGUCAAUGUCCACUAAAUAUAUGACAGCCAUGUUGACGACCUUUUCAGCAAUUCUGUAUAGGACUUCAUCUUGUUUUAUACAUUCUUCAUCCUAUUCCGUUACGCGUUAGUAAAUUAAUCCGCCUACAAUAUUAAAUAGACUUAAUCCAAGUAGAUAUCGACAUUAGAACAUACAUGAUCUCUACCAAAUCGAAUGACAACCAAGCGCUCUUGUUCUAUUUAUAAAAAAAAAGGUUAAUAAGCUGAUUCGAAGUUGUGAAACGAGAAACAUUCUACGUUUCUUAAAGUUCGCGUACCUGAUAAAAUUGCUUGAUCAACGUGCCUAUAAACAUAAGUUAGAGAAGAAUAAAUCCAUCUAUCA